AUCUUUCCAGCUGUGGGCAGGAAAACUCGAAGACAGAUGAUCACAAAAUUUUGCUUCUGCCCCGGUGUUGCUUGUGGACCUGUUUCUCUAGCAGAUGUAUUCCUUCUAGUUGUCUUGCACACUCCUACCCAAUUCCUCAUAGGACUCAAAAUAUGCCAUCUGAGCUAAGAGUUUGUAGACGUGAAGCAAACAGAGCUAACUGGUCUGCAGUGGAUUGAACCCACCAGUUUUGGCAUCAUUAUCAUCCUGUUCCAAUCAACUGAACUAGAAUGUGAGAGAAUAAAUGCCUUACUUAA